rnacentral:rRNA from 1 species
UCUAAGUAUAACCUGCCAGACAGGGAAACUGCGUACGGCUCAUUACACCAGCCUUAAUUUACUUGACCUUGACAACCUACUUGGAUAACUGUGGUUAUUUUAGAGCUAAUACAUGCACCAAAGCUCCGAUCCUCGCGGAGAGGAGCGCAUUUGUUCGCCACAAAACCAAGCGCCCAUCUGGGCGUCCAGUGCUGAACCAGAACAACUCAGCUGAUCGCACGGUCUUGUACCGGCGACGUGUCUUUCAAGUGUCUGCCUUAUCAACUUUCGAUGGUAGUGUACCUGACUACCAUGGUUGUGACGGGUAACGGAGGAUAAGGGUUCGACUCCGGAGAAGGGGCCUGAGAAAUGGCCACUACGUCUAAGGAUGGCAGCAGGCGCGCAAAUUACCCACUCUCAACGCGAGGAGGUAGUGACGAGAAAUAACGAGACCGUUCUCAUACGAGGCCGGUUAUUGGAAUGGGUACAAUUUAAA